rnacentral:lncRNA from 1 species
UAUGUAAAAUGAAAAUAAAAAUAGAAAAACUAAAGUUAAGUAUUUUCUAAAUAUUUUUAAACAUAAAAUAUAUACAUAUCCAAACUAUUAUUUUAUGUUUAAAAAAAUAUUUAGAAAAUAUUAAACUUUAGUUUUUCUAUUUUUAUUUUUAUAGCAAAUAUAUUAUUAUAUAAUAAAAUUAAUUUAUUUAUUAACCCAAGAUUCACCCGCGGUCGACCCAGUGACCCAUCAACCCGGUAAGUCUUUUUAACAUAAUGAGAAAGAAGGUCAUGCUAACGUUUAUUAUGGUUGUUAAUGUCAACAUGGUCACACUAAAAGAUACAAAAGCUGGCAAUACCACUCCGAGGUUGACUUAAAUAAUAAUCAAAAUUAUUUU